rnacentral:tRNA from 1 species
GGAUUGAGGCUCAGCGGUAGAGCGCUCGCCUAGCAUGGGAGGAACCGGGUUCGAUCCUCAGCACCA